AGCAACGGAUAAUCCGUUGCAAAAUUUACGUUGAAUUUAGCAACGGAUUUUCCGUUGCUAAUUGAAAAAAAAUAAAUUAAAAUGUUAAAAUUAUGUAGACCGUUGAUUGCAUAAAAUCUGAACCGUUUAUUUUCACUCUCUCCCCCCACACCGAAAUACAGAUCCAACAACCAUUUACGCUGAAAAUUAAUUUACUUCCACUCUUCCAGUAUCCUUCUUCGUCCCUAAUAACAUCGAUUCCUAACUGUUCAAAAAUCACCCUCUCUUCAUCGAUUUCAUCUUCCUUUACCCGAAACUGUUCAUCAUCUUCGCACUCGUCUUCGGCAACCCUAUUUUUUUUCUUCAUCUUCUUCUCCUUCAUCUUAACAGUUUCAAUAUUUCUCUGCAAACCAACAAAAACAGAGACCCAUGGCAACAUCGCACCAGAUCCAUCGAUUUCACCAUCGAACAUCCUGUUUUACCCCUUCUCUGUAAACGGGUUAGGUUUUGCACUGUUUUCUUCGAUAGCUCAGGUGUUAUUCUGUCGUGUUGAUCCAUCUCCCUCACCUGUAACUGAAGAACACAGGUUUUUAAGCGUGGCAUCAAGUUAUCUUCCUCAAUAAUUAAUCAGCCUUUGGGUUCUUCUUGGCACGAAAGCGGAGCAGUGGAUUUCAAGUAGCAUCCAAUCAUCGGCCAUGUACAAAAGGAACUGCCACAUUAGAGAACUGACCUUGAUGGAACUCAGUACAAUCUCUUACUGUUAGACAGUGAAGGAAUAGAUGCCUAUGAUCAAACACAAUAUGAAUGGCUUAUUGGAUCACAAUAUGCUACAUCUGAUUGGGUUGCAAUAAGAAAACCUCCACCUUGUGCCAUUGAUUCUUGGGGCUUAGGUAAGUCUAUUUUGCUCCAUUUUUACAUGGUUGCUUAAUUAUAUCGUGCGUAAUUUUUAUGUUGGGCAUGCUUAUUGUAAUCUUUUCAAGUAGUUGGAACUUUGCCUUUCAUUGGGACAAUAUUGACAGUUUGUAUAAGAAAACUAAUGGAAUGAUUUUCUUUCAUUACAUCCUAUAUUGAGUACAAUCAAACUCUCAGAAACAUGAUUACACAUUUAGGUGUGUGGUAAAUAACAAUACUUACAUUACAAUGAUGGAAAAGUUGAUUCCUUUUACUAUAUGCACAACAUAAUUGAUAAAAUAUGAAUUCUGUUGAAACAGCUUGAAAUAUGUUGAAUUUGAUAUUGAAUUUUGUUGAUCGGAUUUUGAGGGAGAGAUGGGAGAAAUGGGUGAGAGAUAUUGAUGUUUGAAGGAAAUGUUUAAAUUGUUAUUCAACACUUUGAAAAAUGCAAAACCACUUUUAGGAGUUUUACGAAAAAGUAAGUAUUCUUUAAAUUCGGUGAUUGCAAUUAUAAUUACGCGUGGAAAACAUGUAUACCCACGCAAAUUAAAUAAU